AGAGUUUGAUUAUGGCUCAGAUUGAACGCUGGCGGCAGGCCUAACACAUGCAAGUCGAGCGGUAGAGAGAAGCUUGCUUCUCUUGAGAGCGGCGGACGGGUGAGUAAUGCCUAGGAAUCUGCCUGGUAGUGGGGGAUAACGUUCGGAAACGGACGCUAAUACCGCAUACGUCCUACGGGAGAAAGCAGGGGACCUUCGGGCCUUGCGCUAUCAGAUGAGCCUAGGUCGGAUUAGCUAGUUGGUGAGGUAAUGGCUCACCAAGGCGACGAUCCGUAACUGGUCUGAGAGGAUGAUCAGUCACACUGGAACUGAGACACGGUCCAGACUCCUACGGGAGGCAGCAGUGGGGAAUAUUGGACAAUGGGCGAAAGCCUGAUCCAGCCAUGCCGCGUGUGUGAAGAAGGUCUUCGGAUUGUAAAGCACUUUAAGUUGGGAGGAAGGGCAGUUACCUAAUACGUGAUUGUUUUGACGUUACCGACAGAAUAAGCACCGGCUAACUCUGUGCCAGCAGCCGCGGUAAUACAGAGGGUGCAAGCGUUAAUCGGAAUUACUGGGCGUAAAGCGCGCGUAGGUGGUUAGUUAAGUUGGAUGUGAAAUCCCCGGGCUCAACCUGGGAACUGCAUUCAAAACUGACUGACUAGAGUAUGGUAGAGGGUGGUGGAAUUUCCUGUGUAGCGGUGAAAUGCGUAGAUAUAGGAAGGAACACCAGUGGCGAAGGCGACCACCUGGACUGAUACUGUCACUGACGUGCGAAAGCGUGGGGAGCAAACAGGAUUAGAUACCCUGGUAGUCCACGCCGUAAACGAUGUCAACUAGCCCUUGGGAGCCUUGAGCUCUUAGUGGCGCAGCUAACGCAUUAAGUUGACCGCCUGGGGAGUACGGCCGCAAGGUUAAAACUCAAAUGAAUUGACGG
rnacentral:rRNA from 1 species